rnacentral:lncRNA from 1 species
AGAACAAGGAAAGUAUUAAAUAACAUUUUUUUUCCACAAAAUGGGAUUUGAAUACAGUAUUUGGAAAGAUUCUUCCCCCAUCAAAAAAGGUCCCUCAGUCUAUAUUAUUUUUUCUUUUGAAGCAGUCUUCUCCAUCUCUCUCCUCUCAAAUGACUGUCCUCAUCCACAAAAUCAUUUUCUUCCUAAAUAGCAUUUAUUAUCUCUCAGAAGGAAGUAAAGAUUAAAAGAAAUAUUUUCAAGGUACAUCCAAGAUUUCAUAGCAAUAUUUUGUAUUCACAGUACAAGAUAAAUUUGACUCAAUUUUUUUUUGGUCUUCAUAUGGCAUCUGAAACAGUUGUUCACAUUCACACAUUUAUGUUUUACCAUAUGCAUACUGUGUGCAACUCUGUUGUUUUAAAAUAUUUUAUUGGUUUUCCUUUAUAUCUCAACUUUUGAUGGGUGUUCUUGAGGAACUUGCAUGAAAAAAUGUGAAUGAUUCAUUCAUUUUUAACAUAUGUAACUAUUUUGGGGAGAUUGUGCUACCCUACAUGGAACACACUAUUCUUAGUAGGGAGUGUGUCUUGUAUUUCUGUUCUGUUCACAGCUGGAUGCUGGAAAUGUAUUAAUAUUGUAAAUCUGUACCUUUUCUUUCCUGUGUUUACUUCAAUGAGUUAUUUAUAUGUACCAGACUGUCCUGAGUUUUUGGUGGUUGUGAAUUCUGGUUAUUAGUUUCAUGGGUUUCACUUGUGGGAAAGUUUAUUAUGAUAUGGUGUAAUAUAAAAGCCGGUCCUCCUUUAGAUUUCUAAGUCACUAGCAGGUAUACCUGGGUAAAUUGUUGUGCAGGGCCUUACAACUUGCUGGUUGUAAGGUAGGAGCUGUCCCCCACCUUUCCCAUUGCUUCAUGGGCCUUUUCAGAUCCAGCUGCUGUCAUAUUUUCUCAAUUUUCCAGCAGAGAAUCAAUCUCUGGGUGGUACAGAGGUUUAAGAGAAAAACAAAUUAUUUUUUUCUCCUAAAAGGUUGAACUUUUAUUUUAGAAACUUCUGAAAAUGUUAAGAACAUUCCAUAUAGGUGUCCUUGUAUUUCUCACAAUGUGACUUAUUGACUUAUGGUGUCUCCUAUUUAAGAAGCAUGAAUGUAUUUCUAGCUGUUACCAGAACAAACAGCUAUAGAAUGUAAUGACCUACCCUAUUUCUAAAACUACUAAAUUCUAUCAGUGAAUAGUGUUUAGGAAAAGGUUUGGAAAUUUUUUAACUGUUCAGCUUAACUAGAUUACCUUUCUACCUUUUGUAAUGUUCAAAAGUUCAUAACAAUGUUUUAAUGUACUAUUCUUACACUGUUAUAUCUUACGUUUUAACUGGGCAAGCUAGUGAAAUAUUCAAUGUUGAUACUCAAUUCAAGAUUAAUACUUUUAUAUUAGAAAUACCCUUUGAAACUAUGUUGGAAAAUAUAAAAUAGUUUACCUGUGAUAAAGAAUAAGUUUGUGAUUGGAAGAAUUAUACUGUUUUUCAUGUACAAAUAAUCCUUAAGGCAGAUGUUCAGUCUCACAGUGAUGUUGGAAGCAUAUUUUAUGCAGGCUAAAAACUAUUUCUGUAUUAGAUAUUUAAAUGCAUGAGGAUAAAUUCUAAUUGCUUUUUGUUUAAAACAAAAACAUAGAAGAAGCAUUAGCCCCAGUUUGUACAAAAUGUCUGCUGCAACUGAACUCACAUUAGUUCAAAACUGAAAAUCAUUCCAAUUUUGUAAAA